UGCAGCUGCAGGUGGAGGCAACUCUAACAUAUAUAAGUCUGAUGGGUCACAGACAGUGAAGACUGAGGAACAUUUAAAGAUUCUCAUUCAUCUGUAUCUCCAACAACAAAACGUCUGACAUCAGAGAGGAGAGAGAUGAAGAGCGUAAACCCAGUGAAGAUGUUGGCCAUGUUGGCGCUGGUUCUGCUGGUGUCCAGUGUGAUUGAGGGACGUAUUUUCAGGAAAUGUGAGCUGAAGGCAAAGCUGGAGGCAGCUCGGUUUCAUGAGAUUAAGGUCAUGGGAGAAAACAUGGACACGAAAGAUCUUGUAGCUAGACUUGUCUGCAAGGCCAAAGACUCAGAAUUCAACACCAACUGUAUUAAAACCAUGACUGAGGACAAGCCUGAUGACACCCCACUACAGCCAUCUAUCUUUACCUUAAAGCCUACAUUAAGUCC